CUUGGUGAUUUGAGCGACGUGGCAGCACCCGAUCCCAUUCCGAACUCGGAAGUGAAACGCGUCAGCGCCAACAAUAGCUGAUCCGCAAGGAUCCGUGAAGAUAGGUCAUCGCCAGGG
rnacentral:rRNA from 1 species